rnacentral:ncRNA from 1 species
AUUUAAUCAGGGCAAAUUCACUGAAAAGUGAAGACGCAAAGCCAUGGGUCUAAGGCAUGACAAGCAGGAUCGUGCUAAGGCAGCCGGUUGCCGAU